CUCACCAAGGCCAACAACGCCAACAAAACCGGUCCUUUUCAGGACCACCAUCAUUUUUGUAAAGAAUAAUUUGAAAUAUUCCUCGCCCAAAUCAGCUUUUGUCCGAAAAUCCUAAUGAGUAUCAACAUAUUUGAAGAACGUGUUCCUUAUGUAUUCUACAUCUCUCCGGUUAUGUCGCAGACAUUACCCACCCAACUUUUUUCUGGUCGGACGGUUGAUAAGACAACGACAAAGAGGUCCGUUCGGCGGCCGAAACUCAACCACUUGCGCUAGUGUUCAUUCUUCAUCCUACGGAAUGGAAGCAGUGAACACAUAUUUGCAACAGGGAACUUGGGUUACUGAAUUUGGAAGUUAUUUUGACUUCUGGUACACGUGAUAGCUACAUAACACCCCAGCUUAUUUUACGAAAAUUUGGUUGAAGAAGUGAAACCAAAUUUUCGUAACGGUAAACUGUAAAGAAGAAGCAAAAUAACACAUUGAAGAGUUAUACAUUGCAAGCAAUCACCUUAUAGUAACUUAAGAUUACUAUGUACAAAUAUAUACAAAUGAUCGGUUCAUAAAUCGUACAGAAAUACUGAGUGGGUCUGACAUCUCUUUCGUUUCCUUGUAGGCGGUUCAAACAUUAAACACUCAAGCACAUACAAAUUCUCAAAUAGCAUUGAAUCUAAAAUUUCUCAAUUCAAGAUCAAGCUUAACCCCAUACAACACACACAUUAAACCUCAAUGACACACGAAACCUUAAAUAACAGGUUCAUUCAACCUCGGGACUACUCCAAUCUAAUGGAAAGGUAUCCCUACGUUAAACUCACUGCACUGUUUUGCCUUUAAGAGAACCCCAAUAAAUUCCUUGGUCAACACUAUCAAAUGGACAAAACGCAUAACUCCAUAUCACACAAUAACAGGCUCAUCAGAUUUCGGGACUACUCCAAUUCGAUGGAAAGGUAUCCCUGCAUCUAAUUUACCGCACAGUUUUGUCUUCCGAGAAAACCCCAAAAUAUUUCUUGGUCAAAAAAUCUCGAAACGACAAAACACAAUAACCUCAUAUCCGUACCCCUAGCAGUAACUCUAACGCCGAAAUGCAUCGGCCAGUGAGAAAUCUGCCAAAAUAAUUCCCCAAGAAAACUUCAUCACAUCAUUUCAGCUGCGUUUUCGACGCCGGAAUGUUUCCGACCACAUGAACACACAUACUGAAAUAACAUACCCUACUCCCACUUUACAUUAUGUUUCUCACGCCGAAAUAUUUCGGCCACACAAAACUUAACGAAAGUGUAGGUAAAAAGUUGGCAGCCCUAUGAUAGCUCCAAAAAAUUUCACUCAAAUCACGCACACGUUAUACCACCAAUACGGUCACGAUAAGAAAUGUCAAAACAAAAAGUAAAUAGUUGAUCGAGAUUGUGCUGUUCAGGUUUCGGAUCCAGCGGUUUCAUAAUAUUCCAGUUUUCUAGAUAGCUUCGCGGAGAUGGACGGGUGUCGACGACCAACCCACCCCACAGGAUUACACCAUUACGGAACUUGCUUUGAAGAAAUCAGCGGACUUCAAGAAGGAAAGUUGGAUUCCGAUUUAAGGUAAGUUUUUCGAACAGGAUCUAAUGGUAAGUUUAUUUUUUUUAGGAGCAACCGGACAGUGACAACCCCAAAGUUUUUUCAUCUUACCCAGGUAUGACUCCGGUGACUGGCAGAAUUUGCCAUAAAAAUUCAUCCCAUAAUAUUCCCAACAUAAACCAUAUAACUCCAGAAGGAAUAAAAAAGUAACCAAGCAAUAUAUAAAUAAUAACGAAAUAAAUAAAUAUCCUAAAUAAACGAACAAAUAAAUAACAUGAAAUAAAUAUUAAUAAAUAAAUAUUUCAUAAUAAUUUACGAAUAAAUAAAUAAACAGCAUGCAUAUCAAUAACAAAGGUAUAAACAUGAAAAUAAAUAACAUAGCACAAAAAUCAAUUAAUCCAUUACUACCAGAUUAUAGCUAUAAGUAGCAGGCAAAAAUCUUCAAUAAAUAUUAGUGUUAGGUACUAACUUAGACGUAAGACUCGAUGUAGUUGUAAAAAAACUAACACCAUUGACGCCGAAAGGGAACUAUUUACAAAAAUUUAAAAUUCGGGGAAGGUGGGUUCUUGUGUGUAGCACAACACCCUAUUCAUCUUCUUUCGUUCUGGUCCUGAGGAAAGGUCCAUGAAUUCUCUCUCGACAGGUACGCCCACCUGUUCGAACAAUGUUCUUCGCGGAUUCCCUUUGGAAAAUACGCAACUUUCCCUCUUCCAAGUUGCUACUGCCAGCUCGAUAGACUUGUGUUUGCUCGGCAUCGACCUUGCACAUGAAGGACAUUCGAGUGUUGCACGGUCAUCAUCCAAGCAUCCCCAGUCUUAGACUCACGAUGUGUUUCCCAUUACUGGUACUCCUCUUCAACGCCACUUUGGCUCGGAGUUUCUGGUUUGGUAGAUCCUCGUUCAGGCUUGCGCCGUGAACUCUCUCUGACUUCUGGUCGAAAGGAUAGCUAUACGUGCAGUAGUAACUGGCGAGGGGGAACGAAGCUUAUUUUCCGAAAUCAAAUUAACUGUUUCCAACCAGAUUUGUAAGGCCUCUUGGGCUUUCGCAAGGAUCCCCCAGUAAAUUAAAGUUGUUGUGGGGGCUGCCGCUGUUCUAAGAACAGUGCAGAGCCUUACAAACGGUGGAAUAGUAUUUUCCGCAACCAGAGCUUUCGCAUCAUGGUGCAAUUGUCUCUACUCAAGAAAUGAGAGAUACAUAGCUCGAAAUUUUCAAUUCUUUUAAGUGGGAGAGAGGGAGGAAUUGGGUGGGUUGAGUUUUCUACGGUAUUUGAAGUUAAGCAUCUGAGGCCGCUUCCCACUCAAAUCUUCAAGGUCGUAGCAUUGCGCUCCCUUAACCCACUUUACAAUAGGCAGCACGGAUUUAAGUGCUAACAUAACAACAAAACUUUCCCUUUGCCCGAUUGCUCCAAAUUAUUCACAAGAUUCCUUUCCGCAGAGUGAUUGGAUUUUGAGCGCAGCGAGUUGCUCCGGCUAACCGUUCUUGCAUUUUUCCAGAUUCUCUUCAACUUAUCCGCUUUCGAAAAAGAACCCCGGAAGCGACAAAAUUCACAACCGUCGGAAGCAAGAAUCCCUUCCCAACGGGGUUGGACACGACCCGAUCAUGACUAUCGGCGGAACUCUGUCCUGUUUCUUGAAAUCUCGCUCGAUCUUCGUCGUCUCUAUCAUUGUAUUUCGCGGCUCAACGAUUUCCUCAGUCGACCGUACAGACACCCGUUCGACAGAUUCCUUGCCCCUUCCCAACGAAUUUUUGUCGGCAAUUCUCCCAAACCCAUUCUCUUCUACGCUGUUACUUUCCACCGGACUGGCUUGCACUAUUACAACGUCCAAUGUUUCCUCACUGUUUAGACUAUCAUUGAGCCGAGAGUCUAGCAAGGGGACAGUUUCGCCGUCUAAAAUCUGAUCGAUACGCGAUUGGAUUUCCCGUCCCUCAUGUUCCGUAUAAUCACUAUCAGUCAGAACAGUCUCACAUUAUUUCCAAUAUGAACUAUGUUCAACAUUACUACCUUUCCUCAUCUAGCACUGUAUCCAAUCGAAUUGGGAUAUUUGGGAUCGAGCUCUCGUAAAACGAACGAUAGGGACAAUCUCGUAUCUGAAAGUUAACUGGUGCGCUUGUUUCAUAGCAAUGGUCAUCGCCGACUUCUUCUGAACUCGAUGAAUAGCCAUACUGCAAAUUAUCAGGUAAACAAUCUCCUUCGCUACGUUGAAACCUACGCUCUACUCUACCACUUCGCCCUUGCCUGUUCUCCCUAUCAUUAUGCCCAAACUCUUCAGUAAAGCGAUACAAUUGCUACCUAUCCCUCGCAAUCUCGUCCGCUCGGCAAUCCCUACUAUGAUCUUCAACCCAACAAUUGGUCAAACCAUCCCGUACACAAUAUUCGUUCCAAUCGCUGUGCAGAUAGUUCGUCUCGAUCAUUCAGUGUCCUGAGUAGAAGGGCUGAUCGAAUCUGGUGUCGUCCGUAUCAUACUCGAUAGGGGCGUUCAAUUUCCGCUGAUUCGCCCUGUUCACCUCCGCGAUUUCAUGCUCUAGUUCCGCUAUUCGGGCUAGCAAUGCUUCACUUCGAUUAAAUUGUUGUUGACACUCUUCCGCCGACCUGGGAGGCGAUUGAGGAUACAAAAGUUCUGACUUCGACUCGUCCAUAGCCUCCCAGUCCUGGCUUUCUGGCCUGUCAAAAUCAACCGCGUAUGCAUUGUGCACCGGUCGUUCGUGUUUUUCGGAGGCUAACAUUCUACUCUGUUUAACGGGACCCCCCUUUCCGUUAGACCUGAUCAAAAGAGUGUGAAUUUUAUCUACAAGAUCCCUUCGCAUUAUUUCUGAGAAAGGAUCAGGAGUUUUGCACCUCGUCACUCUUAGCAGAUAGUGCUUAAGGCGAGAAAUUAGCCGGUCGUCGGGUUCUCUAUCCAACUUCCUCCCGAAAAAGUCCACUUUCGCCAAUAUAUGGUUGUAUUCCUGAUAAAUUGUAUAUUGUGAAGGGUAUUCAUGAUUCCUUCGGGCUUCUGUUCGAAACAGUUUCCCUAGAAAUUGACAUUUGCCCUCCAGAUCGCAUCUCGUCUCCUCUAGUCUACCCCGAAUUAUUAAUUCGUAAUCCACCUCAUCGUUUGUCAGAUGAUGUGCGUUGGAAAAUCUGUUCUCCAUAAUGAACGUUCGAUCUUCCAAUAAAAAUAAAACACAAAUAUUCGAAACACUAAACACAAACUACAACUAAGACAACACUCAAGUAUCCGAUCUGUACCAUAGAUUAAGAAACUAGGUUUAAGAACCCUAUGAAGAAUAAACUAUAAUGUAGCCAGAAA